rnacentral:rRNA from 1 species
GUCCACGCUGUAAACGAUGAGCACUAGUUUUGGGUUCAUUUAACCGAGCCUGAAACAAAGCUAACGCAUUAAGUGCUCCGCCUGGGGAGUACGGUCGCAAGAUUAAAACUCAAAGGAAUUGACGGGGGCCCCGCACAAGCGGUGGAUUAUGUGGUUUAAUUCGAAGCAACGCGCAAAACCUUACCUAGGCAGAAACUCCCGAGAACCCGUUUGAAAGGAUGGGGUGCCAGCAAUGGAAUUCGGAGAGAGGCGCUGCAUGGCUGUCGU